rnacentral:rRNA from 1 species
AAUGGAUUGCUUAUUGCACCACAUGUGUUUUUCUUUGAAACAAACUUGCUUUGGCGGUGGGCCCAGCCUGCCGCCAGAGGUCUAAACUUACAACCAAUUUUUUAUCAACUUGUCACACCAGAUUAUUACUAAUAGUCAAAACUUUCAACAACGGAUCUCUUGGUUCUCGCAUCGAUGAAGAACGCAGCGAAAUGCGAUACGUAAUAUGAAUUGCAGAUAUUCGUGAAUCAUCGAAUCUUUGAACGCACAUUGCGCCCUCUGGUAUUCCGGAGGGCAUGCCUGUUUGAGCGUCGUUUCUCCCUCAAACCGCUGGGUUUGGUGUUGAGCAAUACGACUUGGGUUUGCUUGAAAGACGGUAGUGGUAAGGCGGGAUCGCUUUGACAAUGGCUUAGGUCUAACCAAAAACAUUGCUUGCGGCGGUAACGUCCACCACGUAUAUCUUCAAACUUUGACCUCAAAUCAGGUAGGACUACCCGCUGAACUUAAGCAUAUCAAUAGCCCG